rnacentral:rRNA from 1 species
AUUGAACGCUGGCGGCAUGCCUUUCACAUGCAAGUCGAACGGUAACAGGUCUUCGGAUGCUGACGAGUGGCGAACGGGUGAGUAAUACAUCGGAACGUGCCUAGUAGUGGGGGAUAACUACUCGAAAGAGUGGCUAAUACCGCAUGAGAUCUACGGAUGAAAGCAGGGGAUCGCAAGACCUUGUGCUACUAGAGCGGCCGAUGGCAGAUUAGGUAGUUGGUGGGAUAAAAGCUUACCAAGCCGACGAUCUGUAGCUGGUCUGAGAGGACGAUAAGCCACACGGGGACUGGGACACGGACCAGAGUCCUACGGGAGGCAGCAGUGGGGAAUUUUGGACAAUGGGCGCAAGCCUGAUCCAGCAAUGCGGCGUGCAGGAUGAAGGCCUUCGGGUUGUAAACUGCUUUUGUACGGAACGAAAAGCCCCGGGUUAAUACCCUGGGGUCAUGACGGUACCGUAAGAAUAAGCACCGGCUAACUACGUGCCAGCAGCCGCGGUAA